CUGUCACGUUGUCCAUCUUCAGAAGGAUAGCGCAUUGGGCUUGAGUUGGGGAGAAACUAUGGACUGCAAAGGAACCGGCCAGAUGUUCCAAACAAUUGAUGUGGAAUGUUGAUUCCAGGUUUGAUUCUCUGCCCUUGGAGGAAAUAGUACUGCAUUGAGCACCCCAACCGUGCAAACUUGCGUCGGAUUUGAUUAUCAAAUCUGGAGCUGUACAAAAUAUGGCGUGCUUAUUCCAAGCUUCCAUGUGAAGAAGCCACCAUUGGAGUUCAUUCUCCGCUUCUGAGUCCAGAGUUACCAUAUCUGUGUAUGAUGUGCUGCCCUUGAGAUGAAGUUUGUAAUCGUUGUAGGGCUCGAUAGCCAAGAAGACCUGUAGAAAUGGCC